GACGAACGCUGGCGGCGUGCCUAAUACAUGCAAGUCGAACGCAGUGGGGACGGGUGAGUAACACGUGGGUAACCUCGCAUCAGAGUGGAGAACAGUUGGAAACAGGUGCUAAACUGAAACUGAUGGAUGGACUCGCGGGUCAUUAGCUUGUCGGUGAGGUAACGGCUCACCAAGGCCACGAUGCAUAGCCGACCUGAGAGGGUGAUCGGCCCCACUGGAACGGAGACACGGCCCAGACGCCUACGGGAGGCAGCAGUAGGGAAUCUUCCGCAAUGGGCGAAAGUCUGACCGAGCAACGCCGCGUGAGUGAAGAAGGUUUUCGGAUCGUAAAACUCUGUUGUUAGAGAAGCGUUAUCUACCCAGAAAGCCACGGCUAACUACGUGCCAGCAGCCGCGGUAAUAC
rnacentral:rRNA from 1 species